GGCCGCGGGAAUUCGAUUCAGGCCUAACACAUGCAAGUCGAACGGUAAGGCCCUUCGGGGUACACGAGUGGCGAACGGGUGAGUAACACGUGGGUGAUCUGCCCUGCACUUCGGGAUAAGCCCGGGAAACUGGGUCUAAUACCGGAUAGUACUGCGCGGUGCAUGCCGUGUGGUGGAAAGAUUUAUCGAUGCAGGAUGGGCCCGCGGCCUAUCAGCUUGUUGGUGGGGUAAUGGCCUACCAAGGCGACGACGGGUAGCCGGCCUGAGAGGGCGACCGGCCACACUGGGACUGAGACACGGCCCAGACUCCUACGGGAGGCAGCAGUGGGGAAUAUUGCACAAUGGGCGCAAGCCUGAUGCAGCGACGCCGCGUGAGGGAUGAAGACGUUCGGGUUGUAAACCUCUUUCAGCAGGGACGAAGCGCAAGUGACGGUACCUGCAGA
rnacentral:rRNA from 1 species